UGAGUAACCUGCCCUUAACUCUGGGAUAAGCCUGGGAAACUGGGUCUAAUACCGGAUAUGACUCCUCAUCGCAUGGUGGGGGGUGGAAAGCUUUAUUGUGGUUUUGGAUGGACUCGCGGCCUAUCAGCUUGUUGGUGAGGUAGUGGCUUACCAAGGCGACGACGGGUAGCCGGCCUGAGAGGGUGACCGGCCACACUGGGACUGAGACACGGCCCGGACUCCGUACGGGAGGCAG
rnacentral:rRNA from 1 species